UACAGAGGUCCCGAGCGUUGUUCGGAUUUAUUGGGCGUAAAGGGUGCGUAGGCGGCGGAGUAAGUUGGGUGUGAAAUCCCGGGGCUUAACCUCGGAAUGGCAUUCAAUACUGCUUCGCUAGAGUACUGGAGAGGAGGCUGGAAUUUACGGUGUAGCAGUGAAAUGCGUAGAUAUCGUAAGGAAGGCCGGUGGCGAAAGCGAGCCUCUGGACAGUUACUGACGCUGAUGCACGAAGGCCAGGGGAGCAAACGGG
rnacentral:rRNA from 1 species